GUGCAUAAAGUGCAUUUUAAACCAGUAAACAUUAAAAACAAGCCUCGAAAACCAAAAAUCAUACUGAUAUUUCUUUGAAGAAUUAGAAGAUUCAGCGGGAAGAAUAUCGUGUCUAAAAUACGUUGGAAUCAGUAGGAAAAAUCGGAAUCGCGAAAUAAUCAUUUUCUCGCGUUUUCAAUUUCCUAUAUAUAGGACUUCAGAAACUAAGAAAAAAUCACACCUUCAUUUUCUUUCUUCUUCUUCUGCAGACCACGUUCUCUGGUCUUUCUUUUCUUUUUCUUUUCAUUUUCUUUGUUGGUUGUGGGUGAGCUUGAGGGAGAAAGGAGGAAGAGUUUUUUUUCCGGUUCUUGCCUGAUCGUUGCUCUGUUCGUUGCUACGCGUAGGCCUCGAGGCGAUGGAGAGCCUUCCGCUGAAGCUUAGCUGUUCAAGUUGGAGACCGUGACCGUGGGCGGUCGAGUAGAGGUGGAUGAAGCAGUUGCUUCUCCCUUUUUGGUGGACUAUGUCUGAGUUUCUUUUUCCUUCUGAAAACUCUGUUGUUUAAACCUUAUAUUCGCCACUUGUCUAAGUGAGCGUACUUACUUUGGAAACUUGUUCAUGAUGAUGUAUGACACUAUUAUUAUUAUGUCGGGAAUGAGUUAUUGAAUAAAGUCUAUGUUAUAUAUUCAA